rnacentral:rRNA from 1 species
UACGGAGGGUGCGAGCGUUGUCCGGAAUCACUGGGCGUAAAGGGCGCGUAGGUGGCGCGGGUAGUCGUCGGUGAAAGCUCAGGGCUCAACCCUGAGUCGGCCGGUGAUACUCCCGUGCUCGAGUGUGGUAGAGGCCAAUGGAAUUCCGGGUGUAGCGGUGGAAUGCGUAGAGAUCCGGAAGAACACCGGUGGCGAAGGCGGUUGGCUGGGCCACAACUGACACUGAUGCGCGACAGCGUGGGGAGCAAAC